rnacentral:rRNA from 1 species
AUGGCUUUUGUGCAACGUCGAAAGGGUCUUGAUGUAGUGGGAUCGUUCAGAUUGUUACAACCUCUAGCAGAUGGUUUGAAAUUGAUUCUAAAAGAACCUAUUUCACCAAGUAGUGCUAAUUUCUCCCUUUUUAGAAUGGCUCCAGUGGCUACAUUUAUGUUAAGUCGGGUCGCUUGGGCCGUUGUACCUUUUGAUUAUGGUAUGGUAUUGUCAGAUCCGAACAUAGGGCUACUUUAUUUGUUUGCCAUAUCUUCGGUAGGUUUCUAG